rnacentral:rRNA from 1 species
UGGGGAAUAUUGCGCAAUGGGCGAAAGCCUGACGCAGCGACGCCGCGUGUGGGAUGACGGCCCUCGGGUUGUAAACCCCUUUCGGCAGGGACGAAGCGAAAGUGACGGUACCUGCAGAAGAAGCUCCGGCUAACUACGUGCCAGCAGCCGCGGUAAGACGUAGGGAGCGAGCGUUGUCCGGAUUCAUUGGGCGUAAAGCGCGCGCAGGCGGCCAGGCAAGUCGGGUGUGAAACUCCGGGGCUCAGCCCCGGACCUGCACCCGAUACUGCUUGGCUAGAGGUAGGUAGGGGAGAUCGGAAUUCCUGGUGUAGCGGUGAAAUGCGCAGAUAUCAGGAGGAACACCGGUGGCGAAGGCGGAUCUCUGGGCCUUACCUGACGCUCAGGCGCGAAAGCUAGGGGAGCGAACAGGAUUAGAUACCCUGGUAGUCCUAGCCGUAAACGUUGGGUGCUAGGUGUAGGCGGAUAUUGACCCGUCCGUGCCGAAGCUAACGCAUUAAGCACCCCG